AUUGAACGCUGGCGGCAGGCCUAACACAUGCAAGUCGAGCGGAUGAAGGGAGCUUGCUCCUGGAUCCAGCGGCGGACGGGUGAGUAAUGCCUAGGAAUCUGCCUGGUAGUGGGGGAUAACGUCCGGAAACGGGCGCUAAUACCGCAUACGUCCUGCGGGAGAAAGUGGGGGAUUUUCGGACCUCACGCUAUCAGAUGAGCCUAGGUCGGAUUAGCUAGUUGGUGGGGUAAAGGCCUACCAAGGCGAGGAUCCGUAACUGGUCUGAGAGGAUGAUCAGUCACACUGGAACUGGGACACGGUCCAGACUCCUACGGGAGGCAGCAGUGGGGAAUAUUGGGCAAUGGGCGAAAGCCUGAUCCAGCCAGGCCGCGUGUGUGAAGAAGGUCUUCGGAUUGUAAAGCACUUUAAGUUGGGAGGAAGGGCAGUAAGUUAAUACCUUGCUGUUUUGACGUUACCAACAGAAUAAGCACCGGCUAACUUCGUG
rnacentral:rRNA from 1 species